UACAGAGGGGGCAAGCGUUGUUCGGAAUUACUGGGCGUAAAGGGCGCGUAGGCGGCCUGCUAAGUCGAACGUGAAAUCCCUGGGCUCAACCCAGGAACUGCGUCCGAUACUGGUUGGCUUGAAUCCGGGAGAGGGAUGUGGAAUUCCAGGUGUAGCGGUGAAAUGCGUAGAUAUCUGGAGGAACACCGGUGGCGAAGGCGACAUCCUGGACCAGUACCGACGUUCAGGCACGAAAGCGUGGGGAGCAAACAGG
rnacentral:rRNA from 1 species